UGUGCGGUGUCUGUGUACUGUCUAAUACUCCAGCCAUGAAACUAGUUUUACUUGUAAAUAUGAAGAAAAUCGUGGGGACCACUGUCCAAAAUUUCUCACUGUUAGUGUUUGCUUAGCGUCGGGUUAAGAAACAUAUACCUGUGAAUUUGUCGUUUAUUAUUACUUUGCGGCUCAAAUGCGAAGUAUAUUGAACUGGUUAUAUUUUCAGAGAAAACGUUUUGUGACCAGAUAGAUUGAUUCCAUGUUUGGGUUUCUUGAGAUUGAACGAACUACCCAAACUGACUGCUUGUAUAUACAGAGUGAAAAAUAGUCAGGGUUGUACGGUCAGCUCAGCAAGAACCAGACAGAGUAUUAGUAGUAGAGAUAUAGUUAGAUCAUUGAACAGUAGGGAGUAGAUUUGAACUAAUGUGUAUCCCCCCAGUAUUCCCUGGUAUCCCUCCUCAGCUCCGGGUAUAGAAUAGAACUGAGGUUUAGAUCCCGGGAGGUGAGAGAUACAGAUAGAUAGAUAUAUAGCUCUAGGAGGGAGGAGGAGAAGAGAACGCGUUCUACCCCACCUUACCGUAAACCCAACCCGGAGAAGUUUCCACCAAUCUCAACCCAGAAACUAUACAAGGAAAUCAGUAAACAUAUUCUAUUUAUUCAACGACUAGGCUAGACGCUAACGCAUUUCACAAAAUCAAACUUUAAAAAGAUUUUAACGAAAGUUGGAAAACUUAAGGAAAAUUAUUUUUGUAAUUACUGAGGACCCAAUUUUUUAAACUUUUAAUUUGACCAAACUAUUUAUGUUAAGAUGUUUUUGAUUGAGAUCUCAAUUACUUCUACCUGAUUAUAGUUUUUUUUUUUUACAUUGUAAUGUAACCUAAUAAAAGCUGAACGUAAACAGAAACUGCAGUGGCGUAAAUAAGGGAGGUUAUUGGGGUUACUCCCCCCCCCUAGA